AUUGAACGCUGGCGGAAUGCUCUACACAUGCAAGUCGAACGGCAGCACGGACUUCGGUCUGGUGGCGAGUGGCGAACGGGUGAGUAAUGUAUCGGAACGUGCCCAGUCGUGGGGGAUAACGUAGUGAAAAUUACGCUAAUACCGCAUACGAUCUAUGGAUGAAAGCGGGGGAUCGCAAGACCUCGCGCGAUUGGAGCGGCCGAUAUCAGAUUAGGUAGUUGGUGGGGUAAAGGCCCACCAAGCCAACGAUCUGUAGCUGGUCUGAGAGGACGACCAGCCACACUGGAACUGAGACACGGUCCAGACUCCUACGGGAGGCAGCAGUGGGGAAUUUUGGACAAUGGGCGAAAGCCUGAUUCAGCCAUUCCGCGUGCAGGAUGAAGGCCCUCGGGUUGUAAACUGCUUUUGUACAGAACGAAAAGGUUUCUACUAAUACUAGGAGCUCAUGACGGUGCUGUAAGAAUAAGCACCGGCUAACUACGUGCCAGCCGCCGCCGUAA
rnacentral:rRNA from 1 species